rnacentral:rRNA from 1 species
GCAGCCGCCGCGGGAAUACGAAGGGUGCAAGCGUUAAUCGGAAUUACUGGGCGUAAAGCGUGCGUAGGCGGUGAGUUAAGUCUGCUGUGAAAUCCCCGGGCUCAACCUGGGAAUGGCAGUGGAUACUGGCUCGCUAGAGUGUGUCAGAGGAUGGUGGAAUUCCCGGUGUAGCGGUGAAAUGCGUAGAGAUCGGGAGGAACAUCAGUGGCGAAGGCGACCACCUGGACUGAUACUGACACUGAGGUGCGAAAGCGUGGGGAGCAAACAGGAUUAGAUACCCCAGUAGUCCCUGUCUCUUAUAC